CGAAGCCCAGAGGACAUGGGUACAAAGUGAAGUGGAAAAGAAUUAAUAGGAAACUGAGGGUAACUUUUCAACAGACGGUGGUGGGUGAAUUGAACUAGCUGACGGAGGAGGUAGUUGAGGCUGGG